rnacentral:rRNA from 1 species
UACGGGGGGUGCGAGCGUUGUCCGGAAUCACUGGGCGUAAAGGGCGCGUAGGUGGUUUGAUAAGGGUGUGGUGAAAGUCCGGAGCUCAACUCCGGAUCUGCCGUGCCGACUGUCAAACUCGAGGGCUGUAGAGGCAGACGGAAUUCCGGGUGUAGCGGUGGAAUGCGCAGAUAUCAGGAGGAACACCGGUGGCGAAGGCGGUUCUCUGGGCAUGUCCUGACGCUGAGGAGCGAAAGUGUGGGGAGCGAACAGG